CUGGCGGCGUGCCUAAUACAUAGCAAGUCGAACGGUCUUUCUAUGGAAGCUUGCUUCCACUGAGAAGAUAGUGGCGAACGGGGUGAGUAACACGUGGGUAACCUGCCCAUAAGAGGGGGGAUAACAUCCGGAAACGGGUGCUAAUACCGCAUAGUUUUCUUGAUCGCAUGAUUGAGAAAGGAAAGACGGCCUUUGUGCUGUCGCUUAUGGAUGGACCCGCGGCGUAUUAGUUAGUUGGUGAGGUAAUGGCUCACCAAGACGAUGAUACGUAGCCGACCUGAGAGGGUGAUCGGCCACAUUGGGACUGAGACACGGCCCAAACUCCUACGGGAGGCAGCAGUAGGGAAUCUUCCGCAAUGGACGAAAGUCUGACGGAGCAACGCCGCGUGAGUGAAAGAAGGUUUUUCGGAUCGUAAAACUCUGUUGUCAGAGAAGAACAAGUUGGAGAGUAACUGCUCCAGCCUUGACGGUAUCUGACCAGAAAGCCACGGCUAACUACGUGCCAGCCGCGGC
rnacentral:rRNA from 1 species